CUAGAGAAUUUGAAUUACCGAGAUGUAAGCGAAACGCAUUUCCCUUUCCACACGGCACAGUCACACACAUACUACAGUCACAGUCUGUCAGAGACUGUCACGUGCUGCACUAACUUUACUGCGGGAUUCCUUUUCCUGCUGUUCUUGUUGAUCAAAGUGCUGACUAGUAGGGUCAAUACAGGCACCAAAGCUCAGGAACACAACAGCCCUGUAACACAACACGCCAUUGCCAUCAACCAAAGACAAGCCAGCAUUUAUCUCAAGCUUCCUCAUCAUGGAAGAAAAGAGCCUUGAGGAGUUAUUUAUUGUGGAACCAGACUUUUGUCCAGCUUGUGGUGCCAUUCUUGCAUUACCAACAUCUGGCCCUCUCAUCAAGUGUAAAGUCUGCAACUUCAACAUACGUAUUGAAGUGCUGCUAGGACACACCACCACCUCCUCCUACCAAUUCAACCAUCAGGGGGUGUAUUCCUCCUCUAAGAAGGGUCCUCAGGGUGAGGAGGAAGAGGAGGAAGAGUAUGGCCAGAGGGAUCCACACCGAGAGUGUAGCAAGUGUGGGCACAUGGGCAUGUCAUACACCACUAUGCAGCUGCGCUCAGCAGAUGAAGGACAGACCAUCUUCUACCUGUGCCCAAAAUGCAGACACCGAGAAGUGGAGAAUUCAUAAUGAAAUCCACAACAACUUUCAUGUUUGCAUAUGGAGACAGUGCCAGCAUCCUCAAGAUUCACCCUGGCUCUCAUACUUGGUCUGGAGACUGCUGGUAUCCUACAAACCAUGCCAGGUGAGAGCCCAAUGACGGGAUGGCUAUACUGCAGUAAUGCCAUCAAUUCUUUCAAAAGAAUAUCAUAGAAGAGGAGCAGGAGGAAGAGGGAGACACGAGUGAGGGAGAGCAGGAUGAAGAUUCAGAUGCAUCAAAAAAAGUGAUAGCGAGUGUAAGGAAGUGGUUUUGUUGUGUUACCUGGUAACUUGUAAAUGUAAUGUACUUAAAAAUAAAAUAAGAAUGUGUA